rnacentral:rRNA from 1 species
GUUGAUAAGGUUAAGUGAAUAAGGGCGCACGGUGGAUGCCUUGGCACUAGGAGCCGAUGAAGGACGGGACUAACACCGAUAUGCUUUGGGGAGCUGUAAGUAAGCUAUGAUCCAGAGAUUUCCGAAUGGGGGAACCCAAUAUCUUUUAUAGGAUAUUACUUUUCAGUGAAUACAUAGCUGAUUAGAGGUAGACGCAGAGAACUGAAACAUCUUAGUACCUGCAGGAAGAGAAAGAAAAUUCGAUUCCCUGAGUAGCGGCGAGCGAAACGGGAAGAGCCCAAACCAACAAGCUUGCUUGUUGGGGUUGUAGGACUCCAAUAUGGUAGUCUGUUAGUAUAGUUGAAGGAUUUGGAAAAUUCCGCUAAAGAGGGUGAAAGCCCCGUAGACGAAAUGCUGACAACACCUAGGAGGAUCCUGAGUACGGCGGAACACGAGAAAUUCCGUCGGAAUCCGCGGGGACCAUCCCGCAAGGCUAAAUACUCCCUAGUGACCGAUAGUGAACCAGUACCGUGAGGGAAAGGUGAAAAGCACCCCGGAAGGGGAGUGAAAUAGAUCCUGAAACCGUGUGCCUACAACAAGUCAAAGCUCGUUAAUGAGUGAUGGCGUGCCUUUUGUAGAAUGAACCGGCGAGUUACGAUUGCAUGCGAGGUUAAGUCGAAGAGACGGAGCCGCAGCGAAAGCGAGUCUGAAUAGGGCGAAUGAGUAUGUAGUCGUAGACCCGAAACCAUGUGAUCUACCCAUGUCCAGGUUGAAGGUGCGGUAAAACGCACUGGAGGACCGAACCCACGUACGUUGAAAAGUGCGGGGAUGAGGUGUGGGUAGCGGAGAAAUUCCAAACGAACUUGGAGAUAGCUGGUUCUCUCCGAAAUAGCUUUAGGGCUAGCCUCGGAAUUGAGAAUGAUGGAGGUAGAGCACUGUUUGGACUAGGGGCCCAUCUCGGGUUACCGAAUUCAGAUAAACUCCGAAUGCCAUUCAUUUAUAUCCGGGAGUCAGACUGCGAGUGAUAAGAUCCGUAGUCGAAAGGGAAACAGCCCAGACCACCAGCUAAGGUCCCAAAAUAUAUGUUAAGUGGAAAAGGAUGUGGGGUUGCACAGACAACUAGGAUGUUGGCUUAGAAGCAGCCACCAUUUAAAGAGUGCGUAAUAGCUCACUAGUCGAGUGACCCUGCGCCGAAAAUGUACCGGGGCUAAACAUAUUACCGAAGCUGUGGACUACACCAUUAAG